UCCUGGUUAGCUCAGUUGAUCAGGCGCCAGACUGCUGUGCGGGAGGUCGCGGGUUCGAAUCCCGGCCAGACCACAAACCAGGGU